rnacentral:rRNA from 1 species
UACGUAGGGGGCAAGCGUUGUCCGGAAUCAUUGGGCGUAAAGAGCGCGUAGGUGGUUCGGUAAGUCAGGUGUGAAACCUCCAGGCUCAACCUGGAGACGCCACUUGAUACUGCUGUGACUGGAGUCCGGUAGGGGAGCGUGGAAUUCCUGGUGUAGCGGUGAAAUGCGCAGAUAUCAGGAGGAACACCAGCGGCGAAGGCGGCGCUCUGGGCCGGUACUGACGCUGAGACGCGAAAGCGUGGGGAGCGAACAGG